rnacentral:lncRNA from 1 species
UGCCACACAGGUUAGUGAUGAACAUGCUGCCACUGUUGCUGGUCCACCUAAACUCCGAGUCUAUACCAAACGACACACCCUCCGACCUUCUGGUGCUACAGCUUCACCUUCUCCUGUUGAGUUGACGCCUUCCACAUCGGACAGGCCACCUUCACCUCAGCCUGCUGAGCCUUCCUUACCAAUCCGGACACACUCUAUGCUUACUCGAUCUAUGGCUAAGAAUUUUGCUGAGUCUACCUCCUUCCUAGCUUCUACACAUACUACUCUUCCUGCUGUAGCCUACACAUUUGCUGAGACAGUCUGGAUUCGUCGUCUCCUUCGUGACCUUCGUGUUUUCUUAUGGCGCUCUAUCAGUAUUUAUUGCGAUAAUCUCAGCGCCACCUACCUUGCGGCCAAUCCUGUUCUCCAUGCUCGCACGAAGCACAUUGAACUUGAUCAUCACUUUUUGCGGGAAAAAGUUCAGUCUGGUGAUUUGGCCUUAAUUCAUAUCCCUUCUGACAAGCAACUUGCCGACAUUUUCACCAAGCCCCUGUCAUCCUUUCGGUUUUCGAUAUUGCGGCUCAAUCUUCGCAUCCGACCACCAAUCUUCGCAUCCGACCACCGGAUGCUUAGCUUGUGGGGAGAUGUUACGAUAUAUUUUAUCUAUAUUAGGAUGUUACGAUAUAUUAGGAUGUUGUGUAUUAUUACCUUAUAUAGAGUAGUAUCAUUGCUUUCUAUAGAGUAGGAUUAUAUAGUAUGUAAUCCUAGUUAUACUCUUACUAUAGUAGUCAUUGUUCUCUUGUACUAUAUAUAUUCAUUAAUACAACUUAAGAGGGUAUGCACUUUAGCCCUUCUUUCAUGGUAUCAGAGCGGGAAUCCUAAUGUAGGGAUAUCGAUUCAUAGCCACCAUCCACCAUAAAUCUCACCUUUUUCUAUAGGUGUUUUUUCUUUUAGUUUUCUAUCUUUCCAGUACUGCUACAGUACUAUCACUACAGUACUGCUACAGUAUUAUUGCUACAGUACUGAUGCUACAGUACCAGCGCUACAGUACUGGUGCUACAGUGCUUCUGCUACAGUAUUUCUGCUACAGUAUUUUCAGCCUUUCUGUGAUUCCUCUUUGCUCCUCUGGUGCCGCUCGGAUUGUCCUACUGUUGGUUGCUCGUAUUGCUCGGUUCUUUCCUUGGUGCGGUCGAUCCUAUUUGGUGAUAAGUGGUUUCUCUCAUGUGGUAGAAUUCAGGUUCUUUUUUUAUUCACAUCCGCUAUAUUCCGAUUUAUCUUUCUUUCUUAUCUAGUGGUGGAUCCUUAUCUUAAGGUAGUAAACAUGUCUUCUUCUACCUCAAAUUUGCCAAUUGUUAAUAUCAAAACUCUCAUACCACUAGAACUCACCGAUUCCACAUAUCUUGUGUGGAAACAAGUCUUUCUUAAUGUUCUAGAAAGUUUUGGUGUUACAAAACAUGUGAAAGGAACUAGUGUUGUGCCUUCUCAGACUAUCGAUACUGCUGAUAAGAAGGAGGUUAUAAAUCCUGAAUAUGUGAGUUGGAAAAAGAACGAUACUACUAUACUUUCAUGGAUUAAUGCCACUUUAUCUCUUAGCAUAUUACAUAUGGUUGUUUCUAGCUCACCUAAAACUGCAUAUGAUGCUUAGAGAAUUAUUGAGGCAUAUUUUCUUGAUAAGACUGCUUCCACGGCUUUUUCUCUAAAAUCUGAAUUGCGGAGCAUCAAGAAAGGCUCAAUGAGCAUGAGUGAUUACAUGCAAAAGAUCAAGACGAUUGGUAAUGCUCUUCAGGCGAUUGGUGAAAUCGAGUCAGACCAUAAUUUGGUCAUGACUGUUCUUCUAGGGCUACCAGAGGAAUAUCGAGAUUUUGUUAGUGCUCUAAACACACACAGAAAUAAGCCAACUUUUGAACAACUUCGUCCACUCUUGAUGCAAGAAGAAACAGAAGUUCAGCGUCGCACUAGUGUGACUACGUCCUCUGCUAUUCCCACUAUUGACGGUGAAGCUCUUUAUGCCAAUCGUGGACGUGGUAAUCGUGGAGGCCGUGGAGGUAGAUAUCGUGGAGGCCGAGGACAACGUGGUAGAUACUAUUCUGGUCGUGGAUCUCCUGGAAUCUACCCACAGUCUCAACCCAAUUAUCCUCAACAAUCUUACACUCUAAAUCAACAACCAUACAUUCCGAAGUCCGGCAUACAAUGUCAGAUAUGUGGAAAGUUCAAUCAUUCUGCUCUUCAGUGCAGACAACGCUUCAAUCAUUCUUUCGCUGCUGAUGAAGUUCCUCAGACCUUUGCUGUUAUGAACCUUCACGAACCCGGUGAGGAAGUCUGGUAUCCGGAUACCGGAGCAUCAAAUCAUAUAACCGCAAGCUCUGGUAUUCUCUCAUUUUCUAAACCUUAUAGUGGGCAUGAAAAAAUUCUUAUUGGUAAUGAAAAUUUACUUGAUAUUACUCAGACAGGUGAAACUCAAUUGAAUACAUCUUCUAACUCUUUUGUUCUAAAAAAUGUUCUUAUUGUUCCUACUAUUAAGAGAAAUUUACUUUCAGUGCGUAAAUUCUGUCAAGAUAAUAAUUCUCUUUUUGAGUUUGACUCUACUGGUUUCUCUGUGAAGGAUAAGGAAACAGGGAAGGAGCUUCUUCGAUGUCCUAGCUCGGGAACAUCACUUUAUCCAAUUUCUUCUAGAUUUGCAAGUGUAGGGAAUAAGCAACAACUAGCUCUUAUUCCAUCUAGAUUUAGUGGAGAUGUCUGGCAUAGACGGUUAGGUCAUCCUAGUCUUCCUGUUCUUUCUACAUUUAUUAAAAAUAAUAAAAUUGUUUUUGAUUCUGCACUGAAAUUAUCUGUCUGCAAUGCUUGUAAUAUGGGAAAACAUGUUAAACUCUCAUUUCAUGAUUCGUAUUCGGAAUCUCAAUCUGCUUUUCCUUUUCAUAUUAUUUAUUCUGAUGUUUGGCAAUCACCUGUGCCCUCCGUUUCUGGAUUCAAAUAUUAUGUUAUUUUUAUCGACAAUUAUUCUAGAUUUUCCUGGUUUUAUCUUUUAAAAUUUAAACAUGAAGUUUUUGACAAAUUUUUCGAGUUCAAGAAGAUGGUUGAAAAUAUAUUUCACAGCUCAAUAAAAAUUUUUCAAUCUGACAAUGGUACGGAAUUUGCAAAUGACAAGUUUUCUAGUUUUUGCUCACAAAAUGGAAUUAUUCACCGAUUUUCUUGUCCUUACACUCCUCAACAAAAUGGCCUUGCUGAGAGAAAACAUAGGCAUUUAUCUAACAUUGUUAGAAGUCUACUGUUCCAAGCUGGCUUGCCUCCUCGUUUUUGGGCUGAGGCCAUUCAAACUGCUGUUUUUCUUGUAAAUCGACUUCCGUCUCUUACUGUUUUAAAUUGGCGGCCACCAUAUGACAUUCUCUAUGGUUGUGCUUCUCCUGACUUGCAACUUAUCAGAGUCUUUGGAUGUUUGUGUUAUUUCGAUGUUCAGGACAUUGCAGAUCAUAAGCUCUAUCCCCAAUCACUUCCUUGUAUUUUCUUGGGUCUUUCUGACAAAUAUAAGGGCUUUCGCUGCCUUUAUCCGAGCACUGGUAAAGUUUUUAUUUCUCGCCAUGUUACUUUUGUUGAAACUGUUUUUCCUUACUUUUGUCUGUCCAAAUUUUCUUGCCCAUCUUCCCCAACUACCUCAAAUUUUCAAAUGCUUCAACAUUUUCUUUUUAAUCCUUCUUUAUUGGGCGAAAGUCCUUCCUCUCUUGAUGCCAUCUCUGGUUUUUCCUUCACACACCUUUCUCCGGAUGUUAGUUCAAAUGCAUCUGUUUCACCAUCUGAGACUAUAUCGACUUUUUCUUCCACCUUGAAUCAUGAUGCCACACAGGUUAGUGAUGAACAUGCUGCCACUGUUGCUGGUCCACCUGAACUUCGAGUCUAUACCAGACGACACACCCUCCGACCUUCUGCUGCUACAGCUUCACCUUCUCCUGUUGAGUUAACGCCUUACACAUCGGACAGGCCACCUUCACGUCAGCCUGCUGAGCCUUCCUUACCAAUUCGGGCACACUCUAUGCUUACUCGAUCUAUGGCUAAGAAUUUUGCUGGGUCUACCUCCUUCCUAGCUUCUACACAUACUACUCUUCCUACUGAGCCUACCACUUUUCAUGAAGCUUUUCAGAAUGCAGGUUGGCGUGCUGCCAUGGCUAAAGAAUUUGAUGCAUUACUCACCAAUGAUACUUGGGAGCUUGUUCCUGCUCCUCCUCCUGUCAAUCUUAUUGGCUGUAAAUGGGUCUACAAAGUCAAACAGAAGGCGGAUGGCUCUCUUGAGCGUCUCACAGCUCGACUAGUAGCUCAGGGUUACAAACAACAACAAGGCAUUGAUUUUGAUGAGACUUUUUCUCCGGUUGUCAAGCCGACCACUAUUCG